UUUUAUUCUUUACAGAUUCCCCCUUGGGAAAAAAAAUCUGAUUAAAAACUCCAGCUAGGAGAUUAGAAAGCUUUGGUUGGUGAACUGGCACCAGGAAGUGCCUUCAUUUUUGAGACCUGGUAGAGUUCGAUGAAAACGUUUUUUAACAGACACAGACUGUCCAGUCCUGACCAGGACACUGAAGACUCUGUUUGAAUCGGGUUUACAGGUUUCUUCCCAGCUACUCUCAGAGACAGGAAUGCUUCUGGAUUGGGAAGCAAAGGAGAGAAAGCACAAAGGAGAAGGGAACACAGCACUGUCACAUGAGGAAUACCUGUUUAAAAAAAGGAAAGGAAACCCAGGCAACAUGAUAAAUUCAUUGUCUUCAAGAAAAAGUUCUGUACUCAAGAACCAACUGGUAAUGGCUUCAAGAAGUGGAAUUUCAGCUCACCUGAAGCUUUUUUUUAUUAUUUUUCAUUUUUUUUUGGCAGCGGGGGCAAGGGGAUGAUAACUAGGAAUUGAACCCAGGGUCUCAUGCAUGCUAAGCAAGCACCCUACCACUGAACUAUAUCCCCAGCCCUCAUCUGAAGCAUUUUCUAAUGAGCUACACAGAGAUUAAAUGGGUUGCCUCUGA